rnacentral:rRNA from 1 species
CAUGGUGAGAACAAAGUUCACUGGGUAGCAUGGGACAAGAUGUAUCUUCCAAAACGAGAUGGUGGCAUGGGCUUCAGGAACUUUGAGGCUUUCAACCAAGCCUUGUUAGCUAAGCAAGCGUGGAGGCUGCUGUAAGUGCCUGACUCGCUCGUCGCCAGGCUUCUACGGGCUCGGUACUAUAAGGAUCCCUCUAUCAUGCAGGCUACGUGCCCCUCAAACGGAUCAUACACCUUUCGGAGUAUCCUAUUUGGUCGUGACUUGCUGAAAGAGGGGCUGGUUUGGCGAGUUGGCGAUGGGGCUGAUAUCUUAAUUCACCAUGAUAACUGGAUUCCUCGGAAGGGUUCUAUGCGGCCGCUAGGACAAAUCUUCAUGAAUGGAAUCACUAGGGUGGCGGACCUGCUCUCGGAAGGUGGUGAUGGCUGGGAUCAUGCAACUGUUGAUGCAAUGUUUUCUGCUGAUGAUGCUGAAGAUAUUAAGCAAAUUCCGGUCGGUGGACAUGGGGCUCAUGAUCUCCUAGCUUGGAACUUUACAAAAUCUGGGGAGUUCAAUGUUCGUUCGGCCUAUCAUCUUGCUAUGAGCUUACGGCGUGCGAAAGCUGGCCGACCAGAAGGUUCAUCGUCGGUACACACCCACAGGAAUUGGCUGGCUUUGUGGAAUACCCAUGUCCCAAACAAAGUUAAAAUUCAUGUAUGGAGACUACUGUCUAAUGGGCUAGCCACCGGGUUAGAGUUGCAUCGCCUGCGCAUUAAGCCAGGCGUUUUCUGCGCGGCGUGUGGGAGGGAAGAGACACUGGUCCAUCGCUUCUGGGCUGUCCACACUCGAAGGUUUUCUGGCAAGAAUUAG